GUUGGAAAACUCUGCCACAAGGAUGACGCCGGGCAGUGUGCAGGUCGUUCAGAGCUGCCGGGGGCUGCAGUGCUCCUCGUGGUCACUAAAGCUGUGAAGGUAAAGCAGCGGUUGCUGAGCUGUGCCCUGGAGACUGACAGCUUCCAGCAUUCCCAGCUGCUCCGUGCUGUGCAGUGCAUGGACUGUUUGCAGCACACUUGGUUUGCCAGAGCUCCAUCAGAGCACCACUCUGCCCACUGCACCGACUGAUGAACGCGUAAAUCAAAAGUGCAGUUCAAGAAAAACCUUCUGCUCUACCAGACUUGUCUGCAGCAGAAAAAGGAGGCCCGUGUGGGUCAGUGCAGUGUGCCUUCCGAUGUGGGAGAGCUGGGCCCAGCGCAGCCCCGGGCUGCAGCUCCAGACCCACACUGACAGCACUGAGCACUGCCCACACAGCCACGAGGAAUUGUUCUGUCUGACACUUCCCCGAAUGGAAAACCUAAUUCAGCCAACGCAGCACUGAGACUGUGACAGGAAAUUUCCUCCACGAUCUUUCAGGGACCGCAGAACUCUGCUGCAGUCCCAAAAAUGGCACUUCGUAUUUCUGCAAAGCUGUGGAGCCCUGAUCCUCACAGCCCUAUCCGGUGACAAAUCUGUGCCACUCACAUGGAUUUUCCCCUGCGUCUUUCCAGCGUGCGUUUGCUUUUAUGCCUCAGGAAACAGAAAGUCUCCCAUCCUGGUUUCCACCUCCCAUCAGUCAUGCAUGUCUGGUGUUGCCUCCAGGAUCUGAGUGGGGGCUGCCGUACACAGUGUACUUUGCAGCUCGGUUUGAGAGCCCUACCAGGAACCACGCUCAGAACAACAGGAAGCUCUUCCACCCUCCCUCCCCCGCCCCCUUUUUUCUGUUCCUCUGCUGCAGAAACUUUCUGAUGCUCAGAUCACAGCCGUCUCUGCAGGGUUAACUGCAGCAUUUGUCACUGGAAAAAAAAAGAGAAAAGAAAAAAAGAGACCCUUUAAAAGCAGAUGGUGGGUGAUAGGGAACCUGUCUGAGAGUAAAUAUCUACAGCAGCAUGUCUGCUUCAUCAGAUAUUAGCAUCAAAAGCCGUCUGACGAUUUAGCAACAAACAGCAAUAUUGAUUUUCUUCCAAACCGCAGACAUGGAAGGAACCACAGAGUUGGUUCCUUCAUAGCACCCCGUCACAGCUGGGCAAACAGUGAGGCAGGAGCCGGGCAGUGCCUCCCAGGGCUGGAGGCGAUGCAGGAACACUGGGAUGCUCCUGCUCAGCAGCAGUGUGUGCCACACAGAGCAGCACUGCGCCGGGGCCGGGCUGCUGCCACUGCAGCAAACAGGAGCUGCUGGGUGGGCUGUGAAGGAGCCAGGAGGUGCAGCUCACUUCUCUGGCUGUUUUCAGACACAUUAAUUAAUUGCUACAACACAGACCGGCAGUAAUAGCUGCCACUCCACCUGUGCCGCCCUCAGCAGCCAGCCUGACUUUUUUGACCCUGGCAAUCUGGAAGAAUUCCACCAGAGAACUGAGAUGCAAUGUUUUUUCCCUUUGUUCUCUGUCCUACUAACUCCAUUUUCAUCCGUUGGUGGAAAGGGUUGCUCACGGCCAGCAGCCAGGUCCUGGGAGCACUUUGUGAUGACAAAUGUUUGGUAUUUUCACUUCUGUGGAGAACAGCGUCCUUAUUUUCUGAUUUGAACUCACCACAACUGUUGGUCUCACAUCAGUUUAUGUACACUUCUCCCCUGUCUCUCGCUCUGAAAUGCCAGUGAAUCUGGGAAUUUUUGCUCAGAGAUGUGGGGAGCUAACAGGGAUUUCUGGCACAGCCCACAGCGUUCACAGCUACCAAAGCAUCAGCAAAACAGCACAGAGACAUGCGGGCACUGGGACGCACUGAGGUCCAUCUGCUGCUCAUGAAGAGGUAUUCAGAGGGUCGCUGCUAAAGCCGGGGCACAAUGGGACAGUUCAAUCUUCUCUUCGUGAGCACUCACACGGCCAUGCCCAGCCCUGGCCAUGGGCACAUCCCCAGUGCUCAGAAAGCAAGGCAGGAAAUAGAGAACAGCUCAUGAGCAAACUGAGAAAUGUGUUCCUGGCACAAAUGGGCAGAGUUCCAUUAACUUUCAGUUCUGUGCACCGGGAAGAACUGAGCUGGAUAUCGACUCUGACCUAGUUGAUGUUCUUUACAGCAGCAUCACUGUAUUGUUAAAAUACUAUCUUAAGAGCCAAUUUUUGGUUGUUGUCUUCAUUUUUUUUUUUUCACCCUAGAGAAAACCGGUGGGGUAAACUUCUAUUAAAUGAAUGUGAAAAAUUGA
ensembl:lncRNA